CCAUUCUCAGUUCGGAUUGUAGGCUGAAACUCGCCUACAUGAAGCUGGAGUUACUAGUAAUCGCAGAUCAGAAUGCUGCGGUGAAUGCGUUCCCGGGUCUUGUACACACCGCCCGUCACACCACGGAAGUUGGGGGCGCCCGAAGCCACUUAGCUAACCCUUUUGGGAAGCGAGUGUCGAAGGUGAAAUCAAUAACUGGGGUGAAGUCGUAACAAGGUAAC
rnacentral:rRNA from 1 species